rnacentral:misc_RNA from 1 species
AACUUUCGGCAACGGAUCUCUUGGUUCUGGCAUCGAUGAAGAACGCAGCGAAAUGCUAUAAGUAAUGUGAAUUGCAGAAUUCAGUGAAUCAUCGAAUCUUUGAACGCACAUUGCGCCCUCUGGUAUUCCGGGGGGCAUGCCUGUUCGAGCGUCAUUACAACCCUCAAGCUCUGCUUGGUAUUGGGCUACACCCGACUGGGUGGGCCUUAAAAUCAGUGGCGGUGCCAUCUGGCUCUAAGCGUAGUAAUUCUUCUCGCUCUGGAGAUCUAGGUGUUUGCUUGCCAGCAACCCCCAAUUUAUCAAAGGUUGACCUCGGAUCAGGUAGGGAUACCCGCUGAACUUAAGCAUAUCAAUAAGCGGA